CACGCGCAGAAGUAUGUGCCUACUGGCUACUGCAUCUCUUAUUUGUUGACUGUCAACAAAUUUGUUCUUUCUUUUCCAUCGGAGAGAAACGAAAGCUAGAGCUUCUGGGGUAUUCAAACAUUUCCAGAAAAUUGAAUUCCAAAGACACCCACUCCGAGAUUAUGGUUAAGGUUAAUCCAGGAGAACCUGUAAAGUCAAGCUGGCAGCGGAAGAUUGAUCAUAAUGAAAAAAAACCUUCAGAGUUCGGUCUAAGCAUCCGAGAGUGUGUUCAAUUGGCCCCAAUAGGUUAUAGGCUUUGGCGCCAUGUCCGAGAAGAAGGUGGCAGAGGAAGGGGGGCAAUUAUUGAUCCUUUCUUCAAGCGAACUGUUACAUCUGAUCAUGGAGUUCCCCUUGGAGGAAUUGGAGCUGGGAGCAUAGGACGAAGUUACAAAGGCGAGUUUCAGCGCUGGCAACUUUUUCCUAGAACAUGUGAAGAUAAACCUGUUUUGGCAAACCAAUUUUCUGUUUUUGUCUCACGUCCAAAUGGUGAAAAAUACUCUUCUGUGCUUUGUCCACCAAAUCCGGAGAUGCUUAAGGGAACCACUACAGAAGGUAUUGGAACUUGGGAUUGGAAUUUGAAAGGAAAUAGCUCUACAUAUUAUGCUCUCUAUCCAAGGUCUUGGACUGUAUAUGAUGGUGAACCUGAUCCGUCACUUAGUAUUGUUUGUCGUCAGCUUUCACCUGUCAUUCCCCACAAUUAUAAGGAGAGCAGCUUUCCUGUAGCUGUUUUUACUUUCACUCUAUCAAACUUUGGGAAUGUAGCUGCAGAAGUGAGCUUGCUAUUCACAUGGGAGAAUUCCGUGGGUGGUAAUUCCGGAUCUACCGGUAAUCACUACAAUUCAAAGAUCACGAUGAAGGAUGGCAUGCGUGGUGUAGUUUUACAUCAUAAGACAGCAGACGGACAACACCCUGUUUCCUUUGCCAUUGCCGCAGAGGGAAAUGAUGGGGUUCAUAUCUCGGAAUGUCCAUGCUUUGUGAUUUCUGGAGAUUCAGAAGGUAUUACUGCAGAGGGCAUGUGGAAAGAGAUGAAAGAGCAUGGAUCCUUCGAUAACCUAAACUGUCCAGAGACAUCAGCUCCAUCAAAGCGGUCAUCUUGUAUUGGAGCUGCAGUUGCAGCUUCUGUAAUUGUACCAUCAGGAUCUACACGUACUAUUACAUUUUCAUUAUCAUGGGAUUGCCCUGAGGUGACAUUCUCGAAAGGAAGAACGUACACCAGGCGCUAUACAAAGUUCUAUGGUACUUCUGGUAAUGCAGCAGCGGAUAUCGCACACGAUGCUAUAAUUGAAAAUCAGAAUUGGGAAUCCCAAAUUGAUGCAUGGCAGAGACCUAUACUUGAAGACAAGCGAUUUCCAGAAUGGUAUUCAGUUACUCUUUUUAAUGAGCUAUAUUAUCUAAAUGCUGGGGGAACUGUGUGGACAGAUGGCUCUCCUCCUUUACAGAGUACUGUGUCAAUUAGAGAACAUGAAUUUUCACUUGAGCAGUCAACAUCCAACUCUAUAAACACUACAAAUAUCUCUACAGGGAAGGAUACUGCUGUUGAUAUCCUUGAGAAAUUGACUUCAAUACUUGAGCAAGCGCACACAACAGCUAAAUCUAAUUCUGCUUUUGGUCCAAAUUUACUUUUAGAAGGGGAAGAAAAUAUUGGUCAAUUUCUUUACUAUGAAGGGAUUGAGUAUCAUAUGUGGAACACAUAUGAUGUUCAUUUUUAUGCAUCUUUUUCUUUGGUGAUGCUAUUCCCAGAGCUUGAACUUAGCAUCCAGAGAGACUUUGCUGCAGCAGUUCUAAUGCAUGAUCCUAGUAAAAUGAAACUUUUACAUGAUGGGAAAUGGGCAUUAAGAAAAGUUCUUGGAGCUGUCCCACAUGAUAUUGGGCUUAAUGAUCCAUGGUUUGAAGUAAAUGCUUACAAUCUCCAUAACACAGACCGGUGGAAAGAUUUAAACCCAAAAUUUGUACUCCAGGUAUACAGGGAUGUCGUAGCCACAGGAGACAAGAAAUUCGCACAAGCUGUUUGGCCUUCUGUUUAUGUGGCACUGGCCUAUAUGGAUCAGUUUGACAAGGAUGGAGAUGGCAUGAUUGAGAAUGAUGGCUUUCCUGAUCAGACGUAUGACACAUGGUCGGUCUUGGGUGUGAGUGCAUAUUGUGGGGGGCUGUGGGUUGCAGCACUUCAAGCGGCUUCAGCGCUAGCUCGAGAAAUUGGUGAUAAGGGUUCUCAAGAUUUUUUUUGGUUUAAAUUUCAGAAGGCAAAGGCUGUUUAUCAGAAGUUAUGGAAUGGUUCGUAUUUCAAUUAUGACAGCAGCGGUGGUAGUAAUAGUGCAUCUAUUCAAGCCGAUCAAUUGGCUGGACAAUGGUACGCUCGUGCUUGUGGUCUAGCACCAGUUGUUGAUGAGGAGAAGGCAAAAUGCGCCCUUGCCAAUAUUUUUGAGUUUAAUGUGAUGAAAGUGAAAGAGGGGCGACGAGGGGCUGUCAAUGGAAUGCUUCCCGAUGGAAAUGUUGACUUGUCAUCAAUGCAGUCAAGAGAGAUAUGGUCUGGUGUCACCUAUGCCCUUGCUGCCACCAUGAUUCAAGAAGGAUUACUUGACAUGGGUUUUCAGACUGCUUAUGGAGUUUUUGAAGCUGUCUGGUCACACAAAGGACUUGGGUCACGUGGGUCCUCUUACCCCCAAGCUAAGAUUGCGGAUGAUGAAGGCUUGAGGAUAUCUGUAGGUGGCACGUAACUCUAGCGCAUACUACACGGGUGAAGAGGCUUUCUGGCCAAACAACUUGAAAGAAACAAGGUCAAACUCUUCCAUGGGGUACUUACUAAAGUAGAAACUUUACCAGCAGUUUUUGAUGGGGUACUUUCACUCAUAAAAGGAACCAAAGCCAUGGAAAGCCUAGUUCUUGUGGGUGGUACAUCUCCUCCUUGCACAUGAGAAGACUGUUGAACAAGAGGCUCUUGCUCCUUCUAUUGUGGUUGAGACUCUUCUCCAUUAUGGGGGUAAAAGCUAUGGAGUCAUCAACAACAAUACAGUAUUCGCCUCCUAAUGGAGAUGCCCCUGAAUCAACAGUCUCAUCGAAGGUUUGGGGUUAACUCAGCGUUUUCCUCACAGCCUCACCUAUCAACAUCUGAAGAAUGAGGGCCAUUUUGUUCCUUUUCCUUUAUCGGGGCAGUUGGUUUGCUCAGUAGUAUCUUGUAAACCUUCAUUAGGCACAUCUUCUCUAACAGGAGAAGUAAUUGGAGGGGUUAGUCUGACCUUCUUCCUCAUAGUCCAACUCUGUGACCUCGGUUUCUUUAACUAAGGGAACCUUUGGAGUUGGUAAUUUAGUAGAGCUAGCUCGAACUUGAUCACCAUUUUCUCAAACAGGCAGCAAACCAUUUGUUGUUGUGUCUUCACUCAAAUGAGAGGCUUCCGGCUUCCUUAGAUUUGAUCUUCAUUUUGAGAUGAUCACACGGGUAAAUGUUGCACUACUUCACACGGGUCUGGUCUGUAAACUUCAGGUAUUUCGGGUUCAAGAGUUUCAAGAUUGUUAGUCUUUCUUGGCAACCUUAAGGGUGAUCGUCUUCUUCCUUCAGCCUUGCUGAGUUUGAGGUUGUUUUCCCGUCUGCUUGGCAAUCAGGGGUUCAUCAUCAGAAUUAGUCAGCGCCAAGAGUUAGAAGGAAAUAAGAUAAAAACUAAGAACUAAUCGCAUUUAAAGAUGGCUGUGGGCCGGGCCGGCCCGAAGCCCGACCCGACCCGGCACGAAAAAAGCACGGCCCGGCACGAGCACGCAAAAAGCACGGCCCGGCACGGGCACGAAGUCGUGGGCCGUGGGCCUUAAUUUUUUGGAAAAAGCACGAAAAGGCACGGCACGACUCGACCCGGCACGACAAAGCACGUUAAAUUUAUUCAAAUUAGCCUUAGGCAUGACGGGCCGGCCCGACCCGGCACGAAAAGCACGUGGGCUUGGUCCGGGCCUGGGCCUUGUUUUAAACUUUUCGUCACGGCACGAAACAACGUGGGCCUGGUGUGGGCCCCGCCCGGUUAGGCCCACGGCCCGUGGGCUUGGCAUGAAGCCCGGCCCGGCCCACAACCAUCUUUUCUAGGCCAUGAGAGGAGUAAUCUAGACCAAGGCCUAGAAGUCAAGAUUGUAACCAUUUAAUCAUGUUUAAUAAUUUGCAUAAGUACACAGAGUUUCCUUGUCAAAAUGGAGGGGAUUUUGUUAACACAUUUUAAUCUUGCCAUUAAAGGAAUAUGAAAAAGCCUCACAAUAGGUCCAUGAAUAACAGACUAAGGUCCAUAACGUAUAGACACAUAUCCGCCAACCAAAGCCCAAAAGCUAGUUGAAGAAAGCGGGAUAAUCAAAGCAAAAGAAGAAUGGAUGUUGGCCACGUUCUCCAGGAAUAACGAAGCACUCUCUCACAAUGACGGUUAUGGGGAAUAACCCCCAUCUCUCCUAAACCUCCCUCAAUCAAUCAUCAGAGAACGACAAACAAUCAAUCAACAUUACAAAUUAGUAUCAACUUUUCUCCGUAGUCCGUAACACUAUAGUCACCUUUAUGUAUCGUACCCUAGGUAAUCGCCACCUUUAUGUAUUGAACCAUUAUCGGUUAGCGUUAUUUGAAUUUCCAAGCAUAGACUCAUGAUCGUGAUUUAUGUUUGUUCUGCUUGAGAUAUAUUUGUUAACGAAACUAUUUGUUCUCUAGUUUCUGUCACAUUGAAGUGUUUCAUUUUCUGCUUCUCUGAAAUUGUUGAUUCACUUUGUAAUUUUGUCUUAAAUUACUCGUACAUGAGCGAGACCUUCAAUCAGAUAAGGCCAACCAUAUAUUAAGGACAUCCCCUUAAGACACUUUGAUCACCCUAAAAGAUUAAGGUACUCAUUUCAAACUCCAGAAGCUUGGAAUACCAAUGAUCAGUACAGGUCGCUGUGCUAUAUGCGACCUUUGGCUGUAUGGGCAAUUGAAUGGGCAUUACAUCUGCCAGAGCCCUCUCAGUUGGAGGUAACACCGGA